GGGCCUGUAGCUUAGCCUGGUGGAGCGCACGACUGAUAAUCGUGAGGUCCGGAGUUCAAAUCUCCGCAGGCCCA
rnacentral:tRNA from 1 species